GAUGAACGCUGGCGGCGUGCUUAACACAUGCAAGUCGAACGGUAAGGUCCCUCGGGGACGACACGAGUGGCGAACGGGUGAGUAACACGUGGGCGAACCUGCCCCUCCACAUCGGGAUAACCACCGGAAACGGUGGCUAAUACCGGAUACUCCGGCGAGAUCGCAUGGUCUUGCCGGGAAAGCUCCGGCGGUGAGGGAUGGGCCCGCGGCCCAUUAGCUUGUUGGUGGGGUAGUGGCCUACCAAGGCGACGAUGGGUAGCCGAGCUGAGAGGCUGAUCGGCCUCACUAGGACUGAGACACGGCCCAGACUCCUACGGGAGGCAGCAUG
rnacentral:rRNA from 1 species